GCCCAAGCAGCUUUGUGUUGGAAAUGGCUGUGACCAGUUGCUUCUGGAAGGGAGAUGUAUUGACUGCAAUAAAACUUGAUAGGCUCAGCACUUGUCUGUUAAGGCUAGGAUCGGAAGUCAACUUUGGACCUGAGUAAUUGGUAUAAAUUUGUGUUUAAGGGCAGGACAGAAGGGAUUUUACUCCAAGUGGUAAACAAUAUGGUGUCCAACUGCUGCAUAUGAUCUGCCUUCUCUCUGACCUCUAAUCCCACGAGACUAUCUGCACCAUCGGGGUAAUCCUAGUAUCCAAAGCUGCAGAUAGAAGUCAUCCCUCCAUUGGCUACCACGAUGUGAUCUUCAGAGACUCUCUUAAACGUGGAUGGAUGCUGCAGGAAAACAAGAUGAAGACCCCUAGACUUCAGAGAAGAUGAUAUCUAAGUGUCACAGCUGGGAUUCAAAACCGGAUCUGUCCACCUCUGAAGACUGAGCUCAUAACCCUCAACACUAAUCCCCUCUCUGACCCAGCGCUGUGAUUCUAGGCUAGUCUGAUUAAAGCCCCAGAAUUUCACAACCUUUUAAGAAUACAGUCAAAAAAGGAGAGAUCAUUGUUUCAACUUGCCUCUGAAUGGUAGGAAAUAAUGGGCCCUGAUAUUAACAAGGCAGUUUCCCUCCUAAGUGCGAAGGACCCUUGAAAAGGGUAUCUUAAUCAUGGGUGUCAUAUUUUAUGAUUGUGUCUGUUUGUAUUUAGUACACUUGUUAUCCUUGAUGUUUUCGCCCCGAGGACAUCAACUGAACAAAAUUGCAUACAUCUUUGUGGAUUACCCUUUCUGCAUCCAUAAGUUAUCUGCCCUUUUAAAAUAAUUUGCACUAAAACACCGAGUGUUUUUUCUAAUGGGAAUAGACAGCUAGUGUUUUUUAAUGCAAAUGACUUCUCCCCACAUUCUCCCCAGCCCAAAGCUACAUCUGCAGCAGCAGUGGAGGGGCUCCGUGCUUCCAGAAGCAAUUUAGGCACAGCAGUUGGGAGCAGCAGUGUGACUUAAAGCCCCCUGCUCCAUAUUAGGGAAAGCUACACGAGAAUUCACAAAGAGAUUCCAUAAGAUGAGCAGAGAUGUGUUCAGGGCAUUUAUUAUCAUACUCGCUGCUCUUGUUUUUAAGAAACCAGCUUCUCUUCAGGUGGUUUUGUUUGUAUGCAAAGAUUAAACUGUUAAAUAAAAUCACAAGCACCAUCUA